AGCCAUUGGCUGUUCGCUACCUAAGACUUCACGCUGAAAACAGACAGUUUUCGAAUUUAUCGAUUCAAUAAGGCGUUCGUAUUAAGCUGCCGGUUAGUACAGAUCGACGACGAAGUGAAGUUCGUAUUGUCGGAACGGCAAUAAAAAACGCGUAGCUUACUGUAGUGGCUGAAUGAGGCGGAUCAUAGAAGCUAAACUACGUGUCUAUAAUUUCGAGUGCAGGUGUUAAUGCAGAACCCGAUUUUUUCCGGUGUUACAAUGAGCGUCAACAAGGAACAACAAAAAACACAGCCAAACGACUGCCACGGAAAAGGGGCCGACAACGCCCCAGCAAACAGCGACCACAGCGAAUGUUGUAAUACGUUAACUAUAUGUGACAAUUUAAAGAAUAACAACAAUGAGGAUGAUAGCAUUGAUGAUGUCCACAAAGGACAACAACGACUGACGUCUACGAAUAGCAAAAAGCAAGGAUCACUGAAACUCGAAAAACAGUUAGAGGAGUGGAAUAGUAGUGAUCGAAGCUGUGCGGCGGAGAACUCGAGUGACGUCGAUGUGAAUUGGCUAUGCGUCAUCAUAGAUCUGGACGGCUACGAUGUGGAGGCCAAUCUUAGAUACGUCCAUAGGGAUUCGGCGGAUCCGCCUAUUAGCGUUGAACCAUUCAGUAGACCGUACCACAAACGACGCCAUUCAUUUGUCGGCUCCGAAGAAGUAUUUUGAAUAGCAAUCAUUGCCACAUUGUGACUAUUGUGCAUCAGCAUGCUCGCUCGUUUCUACAUGUACACCUUUUCAGAUAAGCAGAUUAAAAGACUAUAGUCAUUGAAUAUCUAUUUCAAUGAACAACUCGUGUGGAAAGCCUAAUGGUCGGCGAAACUCAACGGUUUAACGGAUUUCCAUAAGCGGAUUUUCUAGAAUUUUGAGUGCCAGUGAGCAGUAAAUGCAGUUAAUUACUGAGUAUGAUAUCACUGCAGAAUCAAUUGAUGUGAUAUUAAUAUUGUUUUUCUUUGGACGUAAACGUCCGGGAUCUCUACAUCACUAUUUUAGUAGCUGCAGGGUCAUACGUUAGUAGUGUUGAUGACGCCCCGGCAGGUUGUUGAAAGAAAGACUUUCUGUUUUGUGUACAUUGUGGAUAAUGUUGUAUAAAUAAAUGCAGAAGUUUUUCACCAAGCUCAUACAUAAACGCUGUCAAAAAUCGUUCUUCGAAAUUA